CUUACAGGAUGACAGUUCUGACACCAGGUCAGAAUGUAGUUCAGCAUCCAACAUCAACCAGAGUCACUAUUUGAAUAUGAACUUUGAACUGCAAUGCCUUCAGAACUCAGUACAGAGGCUGAGCAUUCUGUGGUCCUGCAGAAUGAAAAGCUUUGAAUUGACACUAACACAUUUGGACCAGUUUGUAUCAAACCCAGGAAAGCUAAGUAUAUUGGAAGUCAGAGAAGUAAAACAUUUUCUCCUCAGAACAUGAUAAUGGUAAGUGAAAAUGAAGGGGAAACAUUAGAAAG
rnacentral:lncRNA from 1 species